rnacentral:rRNA from 1 species
GACAGAGGGUGCAAACGUUGUUCGGAAUUACUGGGCGUAAAGCGCACGUAGGCGGAUUGUUAAGUCGGGGGUGAAAUCCCAAGGCUCAACCUUGGAACUGCCUUUGAUACUGGGGAUCUUGAGUCCGGGAGAGGUGAGUGGAACUGCGAGUGUAGAGGUGAAAUUCGUAGAUAUUCGCAAGAACACCAGUGGCGAAGGCGGCUCACUGGCCCGGUACUGACGCUGAGGCACGAAAGCGUGGGGAGCAAACAGG